UACGUAGGGUGCAGGCGUUAAUCGGAAUUACUGGGCGUAAAGCGUGCGCAGGCGGUUUGCUAAGACAGGUGUGAAAUCCCCGGGCUUAACCUGGGAACUGCGCUUGUUACUGGCAGGCUUGAGUGUGGCAGAGGGGGGUGGAAUUCCACGUGUAGCAGUGAAAUGCGUAGAGAUGUGGAGGAACACCGAUGGCGAAGGCAGCCUCCUGGGCCAGCACUGACGCUCAUGCACGAAAGCGUGGGGAGCAAACAGG
rnacentral:rRNA from 1 species